GACGUGCUAAUCUGCGAUAAGCGUCGGUGAGGUGAUAUGAACCGUUAUAACCGGCGAUUUCCGAAUGGGGAAACCCAGUGUGUUUCGACACACUAUCAUUAACUGAAUCCAUAGGUUAAUGAGGCGAACCGGGGGAACUGAAACAUCUAAGUACCCCGAGGAAAAGAAAUCAACCGAGAUUCCCCCAGUAGCGGCGAGCGAACGGGGAGGAGCCCAGAGCCUGAAUCAGUGUGUGUGUUAGUGGAAGCGUCUGGAAAGGCGUGCGAUACAGGGUGACAGCCCCGUACACAAAAAUGCACAUAUUGUGAGCUCGAUGAGUAGGGCGGGACACGUGGUAUCCUGUCUGAAUAUGGGGGGACCAUCCUCCAAGGCUAAAUACUCCUGACUGACCGAUAGUGAACCAGUACCGUGAGGGAAAGGCGAAAAGAACCCCGGCGAGGGGAGUGAAAAAGAACCUGAAACCGUGUACGUACAAGCAGUGGGAGCCUCUUAAUGGGGUGACUGCGUACCUUUUGUAUAAUGGGUCAGCGACUUAUAUUCUGUAGCAAGGUUAACCGAAUAGGGGAGCCGAAGGGAAACCGAGUCUUAACUGGGCGUUAAGUUGCAGGGUAUAGACCCGAAACCCGGUGAUCUAGCCAUGGGCAGGUUGAAGGUUGGGUAACACUAACUGGAGGACCGAACCGACUAAUGUUGAAAAAUUAGCGGAUGACUUGUGGCUGGGGGUGAAAGGCCAAUCAAACCGGGAGAUAGCUGGUUCUCCCCGAAAGCUAUUUAGGUAGCGCCUCGUGAAUUCAUCUCCGGGGGUAGAGCACUGUUUCGGCAAGGGGGUCAUCCCGACUUACCAACCCGAUGCAAACUGCGAAUACCGGAGAAUGUUAUCACGGGAGACACACGGCGGGUGCUAACGUCCGUCGUGAAGAGGGAAACAACCCAGACCGCCAGCUAAGGUCCCAAAGUCAUGGUUAAGUGGGAAACGAUGUGGGAAGGCCCAGACAGCCAGGAUGUUGGCUUAGAAGCAGCCAUCAUUUAAAGAAAGCGUAAUAGCUCACUGGUCGAGUCGGCCUGCGCGGAAGAUGUAACGGGGCUAAACCAUGCACCGAAGCUGCGGCAGCGACACUAUGUGUUGUUGGGUAGGGGAGCGUUCUGUAAGCCUGUGAAGGUGGCCUGUGAGGGUUGCUGGAGGUAUCAGAAGUGCGAAUGCUGACAUAAGUAACGAUAAAGCGGGUGAAAAGCCCGCUCGCCGGAAGACCAAGGGUUCCUGUCCAACGUUAAUCGGGGCAGGGUGAGUCGACCCCUAAGGCGAGGCCGAAAGGCGUAGUCGAUGGGAAACAGGUUAAUAUUCCUGUACUUGGUGUUACUGCGAAGGGGGGACGGAGAAGGCUAUGUUGGCCGGGCGACGGUUGUCCCGGUUUAAGCGUGUAGGCUGGUUUUCCAGGCAAAUCCGGAAAACCAAGGCUGAGGCGUGAUGA
rnacentral:rRNA from 1 species